rnacentral:rRNA from 1 species
UACGGAGGAUGCAAGCGUUAUCCGGAUUUAUUGGGUUUAAAGGGUGCGUAGGCGGGAAAAUAAGUCAGUGGUGAAAUCCUACAGCUUAACUGUAGAAUUGCCGUUGAUACUGUUUUUCUUGAGUAUGGUCAAGGAAGGCGGAAUGUGUAAUGUAGCGGUGAAAUGCUUAGAUAUUACACAGAACACCAAUUGCGAAGGCAGCUUUCUGGCCCAUUAUUGACGCUGAGGCACGAAAGCGUGGGGAUCGAACAGGAUUAGAUACCCUGGUA